GCUGAAACACCCCCUCUCGUAGGAUCACCGAAGUUAAGCAACGUCGAGCUUGGUCAGUACCCAGAUGGGUGACCGCUUGGGAAUACC